UGAACAUAUAGGCCUAGACCAAGGAGAAGUGUACCACCUCCUGAGCUGAUUGGGCCUCUGCCGGAGCCCAGUGACAAGAAACCUCAGCAAGAGGAACCACCAACUGAAAGUCGGGAUCCUACUCCUGGUCAGGAGAGAGAAGAUCAGGGGUGCAACUGAUAUUCAAGUUGAUAGCCUUUGUAUUUUUAAGUGCCUGACCUGAAAGCUGAUCUCCAGGAGCUGUCUCAGUCAAAGACUGGGGAUGAAUGCAGACAUGGUCCUGAUGACCAGGAGAAGAUUCUG
rnacentral:lncRNA from 1 species